rnacentral:misc_RNA from 1 species
GAUGAAGAACGUAGUGAAAUGCGAUAAGUAAUGUGAAUUGCAGAAUUCAGUGAAUCAUCGAAUCUUUGAACGCACAUUGCGCCCCCUGGUAUUCCGGGGGGCAUGCCUGUUCGAGCGUCAUUUCACCACUCAAGCCUCGCUUGGUAUUGGGCAACGCGGUCCGCCGCGUGCCUCAAAUCGACCGGCUGGGUCUUCUGUCCCCUAAGCGUUGUGGAAACUUUCGCUAAAGGGUGUUCGGGAGGCUACGCCGUAAAACAACCCCAUUUCUAAGGUUGACCUCGGAUCAGGUAGGGAUACCCGCUGAACUUAAGCAUAUCAAUAAGCGGAGGA